CCUACGGGGGGCAGCAGUGAGGAAUAUUGGUCAAUGGGCGCGAGCCUGAACCAGCCAAGUAGCGUGCAGGAAGACUGCCCUACGGGUUGUAAACUGCUUUUAUACGGGAAUAAUUUGAUGCACGUGUGCGUUUUUGCAUGUAUCUUAUGAAUAAGGAUCGGCUAAUUCCGUGCCAGCAGCCGCGGUAAUACGGAGGGUCCAGGCGUUAUCCGGAUUUAUUGGGUUUAAAGGGAGCGUAGUUGGGUUGUUAAGUGUGUUGUGAAAUUUUG
rnacentral:rRNA from 1 species